UACGAAGGGGGCAAGCGUUGUUCGGAAUUACUGGGCGUAAAGGGCGCGUAGGCGGCCGCCUUUGUCAGGUGUGAAAGCCCCAGGCUCAACCUGGGAAUUGCACUUGGGACGGGGUGGCUUGAGUUCGGGAGAGGAGAGUGGAAUUCCCAGUGUAGAGGUGAAAUUCGUAGAUAUUCGCAAGAACACCAGUGGCGAAGGCGGCUCACUGGCCCGAUACUGACGCUGAGGCACGAAAGCGUGGGGAGCAAACAGG
rnacentral:rRNA from 1 species